rnacentral:lncRNA from 1 species
GCUGAAUUGAUAUGCACGCAGUUGCGUGUUGGCAUAUAGGGAGCUAUGCGCCUGAAUACAAUUUAAUUAAAUAUAUUAAAUAACUUGGAAUCCUCCCCCUUUAUAAGUAGAGACAAUCCAUAACCUCAGAAAUAUUAAUCUUAAAUUUAUAUAAAUGAAAAGUAAGCUUCCAUAAAUAAAAUUCAACAAUGUUUCUUAAAAUUGGUAAAAGUGGUAUAGUCAUACCCCAACAUGUUGACCAUAGAUAGACAAACAAUUCACUUGCAUUCGAUUCGCAUUUGAACUAUGUGUUUGUUAAUGUAAACCGUUUCAAAUGUGAAUUAAACUAAUUCAAAUUAGUUAAUGUCAAUCCAAUUCAAAU